UUGAAAACUACCUGUCAAUAAACAAGCCAACAGACCACCAUUGAAGAGGAAACUUUCUCGAAUGAACAAGGCGGGGAUGCCUGUGGUAACAGGAAUAGGACUGUCAUAGCUCGCAGGAGUUAUGGUUACAGAUGGAAACACAUUUUAGAAUGCAGGGCCUGCUUCAGUUUUUCCUCUGGACCCAUGGUGGCUUCUGUGGUGUCCUGGGUUUUCCCCCACUCAUCUUGGGAUGGCUUCUGUAAGUCAUGGAAGAUAACGUAGCUGCUGCUCUGGUUUCGCCUCUUCGCGACAUACUCAGCACACACAUGCUUCUCAGCCAAACUGUGAGGGAAGCGGUGUACUUCCUCCAGGGCCACAGCCUCACGGUGAAAAUGGAAGCCCAAAGGGAGCUGGAACAACUCAGUUGGAAUGAUGAAGGAUUCAUUUUCAAGAUGGCUCACUCAAAUGGCUGGCAUAUCGGUGCUUACUUAACUGGGACCUCAGCCAGGGUUGUGGACCAGAGGCCUCGGUUCCUUUCUAGACACCACGCGAAGAGGACUGGGCCAGCCCGUGGGAGACAUGUGGACUGGCCCACAGCCAGCACCAAUUCUCACAUAUGUGAGUGGGGCCGCGCUGAAUCAUGCUGAAUCAACGAACGAGUUCCAGGCCAGCUCCAAUUUAACUACAGACGUGUAAGUAACCCCAUGGGAGAUCAGCCAAUCAGCCUCGCUAAGCCCAAUUCAAAUAGCGGAAGCACAGAAUAAUGAGCAAAUAGUUGCUGUGUGUUCUUUUUUUAUUUUUAUUUUUAUUUUUUUAUUUUAAGUGGGCUCCACACCCAGUGUGGGUCUUGAACUCACUAUCCUGAGGUCAGGAGUUGCAUAAUCUUCUGACUGAGCCAGCCAGG